rnacentral:snRNA from 1 species
ACUCUUACCUGGCAGGGGAGGUACCAUGAUCACAAAGGUGGUUUUCUCAGAGCAAGGCUUAUCCAUUGUACUCCAGAUGUGUUGACCCCUGUGAUUUCCCCAAAUGUGGGAAACUCAACUGCAUAAUCUGUGAUAGUGGGGGGAAAAUAAUACUGUAAAAUAUUUUUCAGCCACCA